rnacentral:rRNA from 1 species
UACGGGGGGGGCAAGCGUUGUUCGGAUUUACUGGGCGUAAAGGGCGCGUAGGCGGUCAGCACAAGUCAGUUGUGAAAUCUCCGGGCUUAACUCGGAAAGGUCAACUGAUACUGUGCGACUAGAGUGCGGAAGGGGCAACUGGAAUUCUCGGUGUAGCGGUGAAAUGCGUAGAUAUCAGGAGGAAUACCGGUGGCGAAAGCGACUCUCUGGACGGCAACUGACGCUGAGGCACGAAAGCGUGGGGAGCAAACAGG